rnacentral:rRNA from 1 species
GAUGAACGCUGGCGGCGUGCCUAAUACAUGCAAGUCGAGCGAACGGACGAGAAGCUUGCUUCUCUGAUGUUAGCGGCGGACGGGUGAGUAACACGUGGAUAACCUACCUAUAAGACUGGGAUAACUUCGGGAAACCGGAGAUAAUACCGGAUAAUAUUUUGAACCGCAUGGUUAACAAGUGAAAGACGGUCUUGCUGUCACUUAUAGAUGGAUCCGCGCUGCAUUAGCUAGGUGGUAAGGUAACGGCUUACCAAGGCAACGAUGCAUAGCCGACCUGAGAGGGUGAUCGGCCACACUGGAACUGAGACACGGUCCAGACUCCUACGGGAGGCAGCAGUAGGGAAUCUUCCGCAAUGGGCGAAAGCCUGACGGAGCAACGCCGCGUGAGUGAUGAAGGUCUUCGGAUCGUAAAACUCUGUUAUUAGGGAAGAACAUAUGUGUAAGUAACUGUGCACAUCUUGACGGUACCUAAUCAGAAAGCCACGGCUAACUACGUG